UCCCCAGUGUCCGUGGGCUAUAAAUUGGGGUGCAGGAGCCAGGCAAGGCCCCAAACGCGAGUAACAGCAGUCGAGGCCACAUCCUCUAGCCAUGGCUAGGCUUGCCUGCACUCAGCGUUCGAUGCAAAGAGGUCGCCGACGCCCAAGAGCCCCAUCCCGGAAACGAAGAUAUAAGCCAUCAACUCAAAGAGUCAAGAGGAGGAGAUCUCGGCGGAGGAGGAGGAGGCAGAUCCCCAGGAGUAGAAGGAACUGACUUGGCCCCCGAAGACCAACCUGUAGCCGGGGGUAUACGAUGCUGAACACACACCUGAUGCAGAACUCAACUAUGAGCCAACCAGAGCGUCAUCAGGAUUUGUAAUCCGAGCGUCACAUUCCAAUAAACGAGCAAUGAGCAUGCUG